GCUUGAGUGACCUAGUGGUUCAAGCAUCUACCUCAGAUGUGGGAGGUCAUGGGUUCAAACCCCAGCUGAGGCA